AAUUAAAACACCAAAACUACUUGACCUCUAUUUACAAUCCACAACUCCUGAAUUCAGUGGGUAGCAGAUUCUAAAAGAUUUUAUGGGCACACCCAUUUCACGUCAAAAUACCAANNNNNNNNNNNAAUGUACCAAGAGGCUCAAUAGUUCAAGAAAAGACGAUUAGUAGACUCACUACCACAAUAACAUAUAAGUGAAACAAAUUUCUCCUUUAUUCACUUCUUUUUCC
rnacentral:misc_RNA from 1 species